UACGAAGGGGGCUAGCGUUGCUCGGAAUCACUGGGCGUAAAGCGCACGUAGGCGGAUUGUUAAGUCAGGGGUGAAAUCCUGGAGCUCAACUCCAGAACUGCCUUUGAUACUGGCGAUCUUGAGUCCGGGAGAGGUGAGUGGAACUGCGAGUGUAGAGGUGAAAUUCGUAGAUAUUGCAAGAACACCAGUGGCGAAGGCGGCUCACUGGCCCGGUACUGACGCUGAGGUGCGAAAGCGUGGGGAGCAAACAG
rnacentral:rRNA from 1 species